GCGUCGAGCGGCGGACGGGUGAGUAAUGCCUAGGAAAUUGCCCUGAUGUGGGGGAUAACCAUUGGAAACGAUGGCUAAUACCGCAUGAUGCCUACGGGCCAAAGAGGGGGACCUUCGGGCCUCUCGCGUCAGGAUAUGCCUAGGUGGGAUUAGCUAGUUGGUGAGGUAAGGGCUCACCAAGGCGACGAUCCCUAGCUGGUCUGAGAGGAUGAUCAGCCACACUGGAACUGAGACACGGUCCAGACUCCUACGGGAGGCAGCAGUGGGGAAUAUUGCACAAUGGGCGCAAGCCUGAUGCAGCCAUGCCGCGUGUGUGAAGAAGGCCUUCGGGUUGUAAAGCACUUUCAGUCGUGAGGAAGGUGGUGUAGUUAAUAGCUGCAUUAUUUGACGUUAGCGACAGAAGAAGCACCGGCUAACUCCGUGCCAGCAGCCGCGGUAAUACGGAGGGUGCGAGCGUUAAUCGGAAUUACUGGGCGUAAAGCGCAUGCAGGUGGUUUGUUAAGUCAGAUGUGAAAGCCCGGGGCUCAACCUCGGAAUAGCAUUUGAAACUGGCAGACUAGAGUACUGUAGAGGGGGGUAGAAUUUCAGGUGUAGCGGUGAAAUGCGUAGAGAUCUGAAGGAAUACCGGUGGCGAAGGCGGCCCCCUGGACAGAUACUGACACUCAGAUGCGAAAGCGUGGGGAGCAAACAGGAUUAGAUACCCUGGUAGUCCACGCCGUAAACGAUGUCUACUUGGAGGUUGUGGCCUUGAGCCGUGGCUUUCGGAGCUAACGCGUUAAGUAGACCGCCUGGGGAGUACGGUCGCAAGAUUAAAACUCAAAUGAAUUGACGGGGGCCCGCACAAGCGGUGGAGCAUGUGGUUUAAUUCGAUGCAACGCGAAGAACCUUACCUACUCUUGACAUCCAGAGAACUUUCCAGAGAUGGAUUGGUGCCUUCGGGAACUCUGAGACAGGUGCUGCAUGGCUGUCGUCAGCUCGUGUUGUGAAAUGUUGGGUUAAGUCCCGCAACGAGCGCAACCCUUAUCCUUGUUUGCCAGCGAGUAAUGUCGGGAACUCCAGGGAGACUGCCGGUGAUAAACCGGAGGAAGGUGGGGACGACGUCAAGUCAUCAUGGCCCUUACGAGUAGGGCUACACACGUGCUACAAUGGCGCAUACAGAGGGCGGCCAACUUGCGAAAGUGAGCGAAUCCCAAAAAGUGCGUCGUAGUCCGGAUUGGAGUCUGCAACUCGACUCCAUGAAGUCGGAAUCGCUAGUAAUCGUGGAUCAGAAUGCCACGGUGAAUACGUUCCCGGGCCUU
rnacentral:rRNA from 1 species